rnacentral:lncRNA from 1 species
GAUGUAUCUUCACCUGCCAGGCUUGUACAGUGCUUACAUGAUCUUUUAAGAGAGCACACUGUGUUCAUGUGGAGGCAAGUAUUUCUGCUGCAGGGUGCUGAUCUACGGGGAAGCCGUACAACAGAGGCUGGGAAAUGUUGGCAGAACUUGGAGAAAUUUGGAAAUGGCACAUUUCUUGCAGCAUCAGCUGAUGUCUGGAAUUGGUGGACUUGGCAACUCUUCAGAAAGUUGGUGGAGGGCCUCUCAACAGCUGAAGGGGGAAAGAAAUUCUCAGAAAACCCUAAUUCAGAGUGGAACAUAUAUAUUUUCCCUAAAACUGUAAAACUGAACUUGCUUCAUCGAAAACACACUAAAAUAUUUAUACUACAAGAGUGUACUGGGUAGUCCAUCUGGAAACAAAACAUCUGUAUGUGGCUUUGGCAUGUUUCCCCAUCACUGCUGAAGAUGUGGUUUCCUGAAAAAGUGAGAAACGUCCCCAGUCAAUACAUGACUUUCCCCAUCAGAUGGUGCUCGAGGACAGAUUUAUUGGGCAUUUCAUCUCCAGCAGACAAACUCUCAUUGACACAAGAUGAAGGAAGUGUCUCCUCUGCAAGUUCAAAAACUGCUAUCUAACUUGUUUUGAUUCUGCAGGAAAAGAAAAAAAAGAUAUAAAAGGUAAACCUCUGACCCGAACCAGAGCAAGAGUUGAAUGAGAAGGGUUACCUGUGACACUGACCGUGUCACCUGCUGCUGUCAUUGCUACUGAAUAAGAGAACACCCAGGAAAUCAGUUUCCAGAGAUGACAAGGGUCUGAUUCAGCAGUAGUGGAACAGAGCCUGAAAAGGGUGGGAGGAGCAGGAGUGAGGAAGGCAGAGAGUACUUGCAAGGACACAGAGUCCCAGGAGAUUUGCAAUUCUGCUUCACAGUGUAACCAUGCUGGAGAUGUGCCUUGAUGCUUGUAUUCUGUGGAUUCUAAAGUGAUUUGGAAAGGUAACAACAUGCUGUGAUGUUUUGAAGCAACAAGAGUUUAAGACUAUAUUUCAUAAAAACGACCUUCAAUUUGAUGUGCUUGUACUAUGGGGCAACCACUUUAAGUACCAAGAUCUGAGCAUGCACGGCACUAAUGGGCAACUAGCAUAGCAGUAAGGUUCCUGAAACCUGCAUUCAUUAUUUAAAAUUGUGCCAUAAAAAAUAACGACCAUUUGAAAAAAAAAUAAAAGGCAGCUUUCCCCAGAUAGAAGCCA